AUGGUACGGAGAGUGAUUAGUGUCUCAGCUUCUGGAGAUCACUUGGGAAUAAUGGGAUUAAAACUCUGCCUGACUCUGGGUAUUCUCUUAUUCACAGAGUUGAGCAAUGCAGACUCAGUGUCCCAGUCACAACAACGACUCGAAGCAUUAACGGGUGAAGACUCAGCAAUAACGUGUAAUUACUCGGUACCUGCUGCAACUACAAGCUACGGCAUGUUCUGGUACUACCAGUAUUCACAGGAAGCUCCUCGAUAUCUGCUCAGAGCCGAUAGUUUUGGAUAUAAUGAGACGGCUCCCGGCUUUGAACGCUUCCGUGGGAAUCUCAACCGGGACAAAGGCACUUUCCACUUAUCAGUGAAAAACCUGAAGCUGACAGACAGUGCCGUGUAUUACUGUGCAUUUCGACCCACAGUGAAUGGGAGUGCCUAG